rnacentral:rRNA from 1 species
GCUUAACCGGAGAAGUGCAUCGGAAACUGGGAGACUUGAGUGCAGAAGAGGACAGUGGAACUCCAUGUGUAGCGGUGGAAUGCGUAGAUAUAUGGAAGAACACCAGUGGCGAAGGCGGCUGUCUAGUCUGUAACUGACGCUGAGGCUCGAAAGCAUGGGUAGCGAACAGGAUUAGAUACCCUGGUAGUCCAUGCCGUAAACGAUGAGUGCUAAGUGUUGGAGGGUUUCCGCCCUUCAGUGCUGCAGCUAACGCAUUAAGCACUCCGCCUGGGGAGUACGACCGCGUUGAAACUCAAAGGAAUUGACGGGGGCCCGCACAAGCGGUGGAGCAUGUGGUUUAAUUCGAAGCUACGCGAAGAACCUUACCAGGUCUUGACAUCUUCUGCCAAUCUUAGAGAUAAGACGUUCCCUUCGGGGACAGAAUGACAGGUGGUGCAUGGUUGUCGUCAGCUCGUGUCGUGAGAUGUUGGGUUAAGUCCCGCAACGAGCGCAACCCUUAUUAUCAGUUGCCAGCAUUCAGCUGGGCACUCUGGUGAGACUGCCGGUGACAAACCGGAGGAAGGUGGGGAUGACGUCAAAUCAUCAUGCCCCUUAUGACCUGGGCUACACACGUGCUACAAUGGACGGUACAACG